rnacentral:rRNA from 1 species
UACGGAGGGUGCAAACGUUGCUCGGAAUCAUUGGGCGUAAAGCGCACGUAGGCGGCCCGUUAAGUCUGUCGUGAAAGCCCCGGGCUCAACCUGGGAAUGGCGAUGGAUACUGGCUCGCUAGAGUGCGGUAGAGGAGAGUGGAAUUCCCGGUGUAGCAGUGAAAUGCGUAGAGAUCGGGAGGAACAUCAGUUGCGAAGGCGACUUCCUGGCCUGUUCUUGACGCUGAGGCGCGAAAGCUAGGGGAGCAAACGGGG